CUGGCGGCGUGCCUACACAUGCAAGUCGUAACGGACUUGUCGGACAAAGCAGAGAAUAGCUUGCUAGGACCUGCUGCGAUCGACGGUUAGUGGCGAACGGGUGAGUAACACGUGGGUGACCUGCCCCGAAGAGGGGGAUAACUACUGGAAACGGUGGCUAAUACCCCGUAUGCUCAAUCAUUCGGUUGGUUGAGUAAAGCUCCGGCGCUUCGGGAGGGGCCCGCGGCCUAUCAGGUAGUUGGUAGGGUAAUGGCCUACCAAGCCGAUGACGGGUAGCUGGUCUGAGAGGACGAUCAGCCACACUGGCACUGAGAUACGGGCCAGACUCCUACGGGAGGCAGCAGUGAGGGAUAUUGGACAAUCGGCGCAAGCCGGAUCCAGCGACGCCGCGUGGACGAUGAAGGCCCUCGGGUUGUAAAGUCCUUUUCUGAGGGAAGAGGAAGGACGGUACCUCAGGAAUAAGCGUCGGCUAACUACGUGCCANCANCCGCGGUAAAACGUANGACGCGAGCGUUAUCCGGAUUUACUGGGCGUAAAGCGCGCGCA
rnacentral:rRNA from 1 species